UACGUAGGGUGCGAGCGUUAUUCGGAAUUACUGGGCGUAAAGGGUGCGCAGGCGGCCAUGUAAGACAGUUGUGAAAUCCCCGGGCUCAACCUGGGAACUGCAUCUGUGACUGCAUCGCUGGAGUGCGGCAGAGGGGGUUGGAAUUCCGCGUGUAGCAGUGAAAUGCGUAGAUAUGCGGAGGAACACCGAUGGCGAAGGCAAUCCCCUGGGCCUGCACUGACGCUCAUGCACGAAAGCGUGGGGAGCAAACAGG
rnacentral:rRNA from 1 species